UCCCCCUGUAACUAUUCCAGAUUGUACAGGGUGUCCUGGUCCUGCCUUUGCAUUUUGAUACUCUAGAAUAAAGUUCACACAUAUGCCAGGCAGGUGUCUGAAGCCUGCCUCCUCAUUCUUUUGAUCUCCACUAGUUCAGUUAUCAGUUCCUCUCCUGGGGCUGGUUUUGGGAACUUGCAAACAACUGGUCCUGUACACUUUGCACUAACUCCAAACUGUCUCCUGACUGGCUUAUUUCCCCUCCUUUUACCACCUAUUUCUCAGUUGAGAAUGGGGAUGCACCUUACAUGACCCCAAGCUCUCUUUCUUUAUGAUUCUUGUACUUGUGAGGAAAUAUCCAAGUGCUCAUAAAUGUUUAUAUCUUUCCAUAGGGUAGUUAACUACUGUUUCAUAAUUCAGAGCUGUUAAGAGUUUAGGGUUUCAGUAACUUUGAUCCAUAUAACAUAUCUGGUCAAAACCAAACAAAUAAAUAAAAUAACUAUUCUAUCAUGAUUGAUUCUGUUUUUACAGAUGUGCCAUUCUUAACAUACUGCUGUCCUUGGAAUCAUAGCUUCACACCUGAAAAGGGGCAAUAGCAUUAAGUAGCAGUUUGGGUCUUUCUUUGACAUAUUCCCUUGAGAAGUGUUAAAUGUUGCCAUUCUUGACAGUUCAAAAGCAAGUCAUAUGGUUGAUAUUUUGCCAAUGAGAUAAAUGUGGAAAAAUGUCACUUUUCCUUUAAUUAGUUCUGUCAGUAGAAACUUGGCAAGAGAUGAUAGUAAGGAGAUAUUGGCAUUUAGGCAUGUUCAUAUUUACUUUUGUGAUUUAGAAUUAUGAUGACUUUCAUGUAUCCUUACAGUGACCCUGUCUGGUUUAGAACUUCUGAAAUUCCAGCAUCAAACCUCUUUCCCAUUCCUCCAGACAGAGACAGCAACAUUCACCAACACUGGAGUUUUGAUCAGAUACAGACUCUAAGAUGCAAAUAUCCUACUUCUGCUUCAAAAAGAGAAAAUGGGAAUUGGAAGGAGAACACAAGUCUUAAAGAGACAAGGGAAUGAAUGCCCAUGGAAGUUUCUCCAUUUCCUCAGCCUCUCACUCACUGCCUAGCUCCCAGCAUCAAAGAGCAGGAGAACUGGAAAGAGUGGCUUCAUUGAGACAAUGAAGGCAUUAUGGAUUCAAGAUUCAUACCUAUUCUAUGAAGGAUCAGUGAACCCCCAGUGGAAACUUGGGGUUUUGAUUACAGAACAUUGGUCAUCAAUUCUGGUGUGCAUUCAAAUGAUCUAUGGACCUCUUUCAAAAAUCUCUGUAUCUGGCCCAUCCUCCUGAGAUGAACUUAAGAAAACCCUGAACACCAUCAGAUCUGAAUUUCUGACCUGUUAUCAUUUUCUUCUCCCUGAAGAACUUCUUUGAACAAUUCUUACAAGAGCAUUCAGAAAGGAACGCCGUGCCUUGUGGACAGAACACCUUGAUUUUAGCCCAGCAAGAUCCGUGACAGACUACUGACCUCCAGAACUGUAAGCUAACAAAUUUUCAUUGUUUUAAACUGUGAGGUUUGUAGUCAUUUGCUAUGACAGUAAAGAAAACUAAUUCAGCAUAUUAAAUUUCAUGAACUAUUGCUAUAUUUCCCUCCAAAGUGCUAUACUGUGCUAUCAGUGUAUGAGAGUCUCUGAGACCCCUUAACCUUUGUAAACCUAGAUUAUAGUCAGACUUAAAUUUUUGUCUGCUGAGUUUGUAAAGCUGUGUCGUUCUAAUUUGGGCACAGUUUUAACUUUCAUUUCCCUAAUAAUAUGUGGGGUGGAGCAUCUUACUUCUAUUUUAUUGGCUAUUUGAACAUCUCUUCUUGAAUAUCUUGCUCAUGUAUA